CACAGUAUUCAUGUAUAUUCUCUUCUCCCCAUUAGGAGACAUGCUCCAGAAGGCCAGAGACUACCCUGUCCUGUGUCCCCGGCAUCUGGAAUAGGGGCCAGGGCACAGUAGAUUUACUUUCUGGAUUCAUGGGUCCCAUGACCAGUCCUGUGUCCCUCCUGCUUCUGCCCUUUUCUCCAAACCUGGGCCUCCCGUCUGCCUAGAUUGCCUGCUAGGCACCCACUAAGUACUCGCUGUUAAUGAUGAUUUUCGGGACGUUUACAGAGUAAUGUAACCAUCACCACAGUCUAAUUUGAGAACAUUCCAUCAUCUGAAGGAGAUCUCCCGUGUCUGUUCCCACCCCCACCGCUGGCAACUGCUAACCUACCUUCCGCCUCAGAGAUUCCCCUCUUCUGGCCAGCUCGUGGAAAUAGAAUCACGCAUUAUGGUCUUUGCACCUACCUGCUUUCACAGAGCGUAAUGUUUGCGAGGUUCGUCCAUUUUUAGCA